GUGGGCAGAGGAGAGUUUGUCCACGUGGAACCUGCAGGGGAGCAGGGGAGGAUUCUCUGGGAAUUCCCUGGGAUCCAGGAAAUGGGGAGUGGGGGGAGGGGAAUUCCCAGGAGGGCUGAGGGGAAAGGGGAAAAAAGGGAAAGAAAUGGGAGAAAAGGGGGGAAAUGGGGGGGAAAAUGGGGAAAAAAGUGGGAAAAAUGAGGGGAAAAUGUGGGGAAAAUGUGGGGAAAAAAGUAGGGGAAAACGUGGGGAAAAAGUAGGAAAAAUGUGGGGAAAAAGUGGAGAAAUGGGGGGAAAAUGUGGAAAAAAAGUGGGGAAAAAGUGGGAAAAACAUGGGGGAAAAUGGGGGGAAAUGUGGGGAAAAAAAAUAGGGAAAAUGUGGGGAAAACAUGGGGAAAAAUGGGAAAAAAAGUGGGAAAAAAGUAGGGAAAAUGUGGGAAAAAAGUGGGAAAAAAAGUGGGGAAAUGUGAAAUGUGGGGAAAAAUGGGGAAAAAUGUGGGGAAAAAGUGGAAAAAACAUGGGGGAAAAUGGGGGGAAAUGUGGCGAAAAUGUGGGAAAAAAUGUGGGGAAAACAUGGGGAAAAAUGUGGGGAAAAGGUAGGGAAAAAGUGGGAAAAAUGGGGGGGAAAUGUGGAAAAAUGAGGGAAAAAUGUGAGGGAAUAGUGGGAAAAAAGCAGGGGAAAACGUGGGGAAAAAGUAGGAAAAAUGUGGGGGAAAUGGGGGGAAAAUGUGGGAAAAAUGUGGGAAAAAAGUGGUGAAAAAGUGGGGGAAAAGUAGGGAAAUGUGAGGAAAAUGUGGGGAAAAUGUGGGAAAAAAAGUGGGAAAAACGAUGGGAAAAAUGGGGGAA
rnacentral:lncRNA from 12 species